rnacentral:rRNA from 1 species
UACGUAGGGCGCAAGCGUUGUCCGGAAUUAUUGGGCGUAAAGGGCUCGUAGGCGGUUUGUCGCGUCGGGAGUGAAAACACCGGGCUUAACUCGGUGCUUGCUUUCGAUACGGGCAGACUAGAGGCAUGCAGGGGAGAACGGAAUUCCUGGUGUAGCGGUGAAAUGCGCAGAUAUCGGGAGGAACACCAGUGGCGAAGGCGGCGAUCUGGGAAGAUACUGACGCUGAGGUGCGAAAGCGUGGGGAGCAAACAGG